GCACGAGCUCAGAAGAUAGAUGGGGGGCAAUCAAUUCACAUAUGGUAUCGAGGGCACAGCUGGGGGCAGAGGGAAGUCUAUAGCAAGCGGCAACAGUGAGAGACUUGUUUCUGGAAAGAUGCAUUUUUAGAAGUAGAAGCUCGAAUUGUUUGGGUACAGACUUGGAUAGUAAUACAGAACUCUGCAGGCUAUCUUUGCAGUAGAUUUCAACACCGCCCCCUUUGGCAGUUCUAUCUUGGCGGAAAAUGUUAUAGUUAGCGAUGGAGAUUUCAGGGAUUUUGGUGGUUUUCCUAAGUCAGGAUUCAGACACGGCUAAGACAUCCGGGUUGGCAGACUGUGCUAAAGCAGUGAGUAAAACAAACUUAGGAAGUAGGCUUCUAAUGUUAACAUGCAUGAAACCAAGGCUUUUAUGGUUACAGAAGUCAACAAAUGAGAGCACCUGGGGAGUAGGAGUGGAGCUAGGCACUGCAGGACCUGGAUUAACCUCCACAUCACCAGAGGAACAGAGGAGGUGUAGGAUAAGGGUACGGCUAAAGGCUAUAUGAACAUGCCAUCUAGCACGUUCGGAACAGAGAGUAAAAGGAGCAGGUUUCUGGGCACAAUAGCAUAGAUUCAAGGCAUAGUGUACAUAGUGUAAGGUAGGAUGUGAGUACAUUGGAGGUAAACCUAGGCAUUGAGUAAUGAUGAGAGAGAUAUAGUCUCUAGAAACGUUUAAACCAUGUGAUGUCAUCGCAUAUGUAGGAGGUGGAACAACAUGGUUGGUUAAGGCAUAUUGAGCAGGGCUAGAGGCUCUACAGUGAAAUAAGACAGUAAUCCCUAACCAGGACAGUAAUGGAUGAGGCAUACUGAUAUUAGAGAGAGGCAUGCGUAGCCAAGUGAACAUAUGGGUCCAGUGAGUGGUUGGGCUGACUGGGGACACGGCGAUUCAGACAGUUAGCAGGCCGAGCAAUUCUUCUAUUCAGGCUAGAUGAUUAAGGCAUGCUGUUGUCUGUUACUAGUUAGGGAUAAAAUGGGAAGGCCUGUAUGAGUCUAUUGGUCUUUUCAAUGAAGUAAAGAGCAGUGACAGAGCAAGGCAUUAUUAACCUGGUGGUGUAAUGGCACCCUAAUGUUUCCCUGUCAGCCUCCCCAUAGAGGACUAUCAUGACGACUAUUCUGAGCAGGGCUGCUAGUGUUCAUUCAGAGGAGGUAGUGUUGAUUCAAACCUGGUAGUGUUGAUUCAGAGCUGGUAGUGUGUUAAUUCAGAGGAGGUAGUGUAUUGAUUCAGAGGAGGUAGUGUGUUGAUUCAGAGGAGGUAGUGUGCUGAUUCAGAGGAGGUGGUGUGUUGAUUCAGAGGAGGUGGUGUGCUGAUUCAGAGGAGGUGGUGUGCUGAUUCAGAGGAGGUGGUGUGCUGAUUCAGAGGAGGUGGUGUGUUGAUUCAGAGGAGGUGGUGUGCUGAUUCAGAGGAGGUGGUGUGCUGAUUCAGAGGAGGUGGUGUGCUGAUUCAGAGGAGGUGGUGUGCUGAUUCAGAGGAGGUGGUGUGCUGAUUCAGAGGAGGUGGUGUGCUGAUUCAGAGGAGGGCUGUAUAUUCAUGUCAUAACAGGUUCUGCUAACAGCUAGCAGGGUUGAGUCAUUC
rnacentral:lncRNA from 1 species